AGAACGAACGCUGGCGGCAUGCCUAACACAUGCAAGUCGAACGAGACCUUCGGGUCUAGUGGCGCACGGGUGCGUAACGCGUGGGAAUCUGCCCUUGGGUUCGGAAUAACAGCGAGAAAUUGCUGCUAAUACCGGAUGAUGACGUAAGUCAAAGAUUUAUCGCCCAAGGAUGAGCCCGCGUAGGAUUAGCUUGUUGGUGAGGUAAGAGCUCACCAAGGCGACGAUCCUUAGCUGGUCUGAGAGGAUGAUCAGCCACACUGGGACUGAGACACGGCCAGACUCCUACGGGAGGCAGCAGUAGGGAAUAUUGGACAAGU
rnacentral:rRNA from 1 species